rnacentral:ncRNA from 1 species
AUAAUCCAACAUGAUCAGGUGUGUGCAGAAUUCGCAACAACCGGGCCAAAGGGCAGCAGGUAUGACCUGCGGGACUAUG